rnacentral:lncRNA from 1 species
UCUGCUUCUGGAUAUAUAUAAGCUCCCUUAUAGGUAUUCAAGUCUCCUCUCACUGCCACCACUGUAUGUGACACCAUAUCCUCAGAGCCAUUAUUUUUAGUUAUCGCACAUCCCGCAUCGAUCUGUGCAGUGCGACACUACCUCUGGUAUUAGAAUUUUUCUUCUUCUCUUACACUCCUUGGCCCUGAACGUGUAGCUAACCUCCCUCC